UGCUAGCGGAAACGGCGGGAUAAUAUCAACUCAGCACGUGACCUUUUUACAGAACGGGAGGACGGAGCGGCCAUGUUCGUAAGGACAUUCAGAAAAACAGGACACAUGCCCAGGCUGUCAGCGCUUCUGCACCCAGAGAUCAGUAAGGAUUAAAGGCCUUGCCCUUGCUGAAGAUCCCAACAGUAGCAAUUUGCCAAACACAGUCACCGGACCUGAACCCAAUCCAGAUGGUUUGGGGUGAGCAGGACCACAGAGUGAAGACAAAGGGGCCAACAAGUGCUAAACACCUCUGGGAACUCCUUCAAGACUGUUGGAAAACCAUUUUUGGUGACCGCCUCUUAAAGCUCAUUGAGAGAAUGCCAAGAGUGUGCAAAGCAGUAAUCAGAGCAAAGGGUGGCUAUUUUGAACAAACUAUAAUAUACAUUUUUUUUUUUAGUUAUUUCACCUUUUUUUGUUAAGUACAUAAAACUCCAUGUGUUCAUUCAUAGUUUUGAUGCCUUCAGCGAGAAUUUACAGUAUAAAUAGUCAUGAAAAUAAAGAAAACGCAUUGAAAAAGAGAAGGUGUGUCCAAACUUUUGGCCUGUACUGUACUUUCUUGAGCUUUCCUCCUCAUAUCAAAACACGUGUUCAUAUUACCUCAUAGUCUUUCUCUCUCUCUCUCUUUUUCUAUCUCUCGAUCUCUCUCUUUCAGUCCUCCAUCACCAUAACAGCUUGCCUGUGCGACCUCCUCUUGGCGCCUGGACCUUAAUCAAUACUUUAACAGGGGUUUGAAUAGCGAUGAGUACAGUUUGGACAUGAUUCAGUACGGCCUGGCCUUUUGUUCUGUCGUCACGUGAGGCUGCCUUGUCAUCCAGUCAUCUGCCCUAUUCAACACCUUAGUAACUCAAGUAGAGUUCAGAGCAUAGAUCAUUACACAAACAUGGCACAUCCAGAGACAGGAUGGGUAGAUGGCUGGAGGGAGUGGAGAUAAAGCAUUGGAGGGGAGGAGGGGAUUAAGAGAGGAGAAACAUGAUCCCUACUGGCAAUUAAGUUGCCUAUCAGGGCCAGUCCAGAAAGAAAUUGACUCUGCUUAUUCAAAAUGAAAAUGGUUACACUGUUUGGGUGUAUGGGGGUGAUGAAGUAAAGUGAUCCUGCUCUCCUGCAAUUAGCUAAAAUGCCCUACUGAUUCGCUGCCCAAUAAAAGAACAAUGGAAACCUAAAGGGCAGAGAUAAUUGACAGAAGCUCUAUUAAAGGACCAGUACCAUGAAAAGAA